UAACUAUAACUUGGUUAAGUUUUUGUAAUAAAAGGAUUUUUAAUUUCUUUUUCUUAGUAUUGAUUAAAGAAGAGAGUAGAUUACCUAUAGUGAAGAGUACUGUAAAGGAAUGUUUGAAAGUUGAAUUAAAGUAGAUUUUAAUAAUCGUACCUUGUGUAUCAGGGUUAAGCAAAAUUUUCUUUAAAUUAAAGAUUUCCCGAAAAAUUAGUGAUCUAAAAUAGUAGGAAUUUAAAUGUAGUAUCAUUUUUUGUAAUUCUAUUUUAGUAGUGAAAUGCUAUACGAACAAUUUAUAUCUGGUUACCUGAGAAAUGAAUUUAAUUCGAUUCAGUUGUUGUUUAUGAGAAAUUUAAUUUUUAUUAAAUAAAACUGAGGAAAGUUUGGGGGGGAUGAGCUCUCCAAAUGAAUUGGAGGUGAAUGAAAUGUUUUGUGGAAUAAAAAGCACAACAAGCUUUAAUAGUAAGCUAUUAAUUAAUGUGUGUUAUAACUUAUGCUUAUUCUAAAAAGAUUUAUAAACAUUCAUGUUUUUUAUUAGGUUAAUAAAUUUAACAAAUUAGUUUUAGUAAUGAUGCUUGAAUUAGUAGAAUAAUGUGUUUAGAAGUCUUAAGUAAAAUAAAUUAAUGAUUUGUUUAUGUGGAGAUAUUCUAAAGGAAUUCGGCAAAAUUUUCUCCGCCUGUUUAUCAAAAACAUCGCUUAUUGAUUUAUAAUAAGUACUGCCUGCUCAAUGCAUUUGAUGUAAAUAGCCGCGGUAUUCUAACCGUGCGAAGGUAGCAUAAUCAUUAGUCUCUUAAUUAGAGGCUGGAAUGAACGGCAAGACGAGAGAAAAGCUGUCUCUAGAAUAAAAUUUGAAUUUCAUUUUUGGGUGAAAAAGCCUAAAUAAGUUUAAAGGACGAUCAGACCCUAUAGAGCUUUAAUUUUUAUUUUAAUAAAGACAAUAAAGUGAUGUCAUAUUAAGUUAAUGAUUUUUGUUGGGGCGACAGAGAGUUAUUAAAAACCACUCUUUGAAAAUUAAUACUUUUAAGUAGAAAAUUGAUCCUUAAGGAGAGAUUAAAAGACUAAGUUACCUUAGGGAUAACAGCGUAAUUUUCUUGGAGAGUUCAUAUCGAUAAGAGAGUUUGCGACCUCGAUGUUGGAUUAGGAGAUUAGCAAGGUGUAGCAGCUUUGCUGGAGAGUCUGUUCGACUUUUGAUUUCUUACAUGAUCUGAGUUCAAACCGGCGUAAGCCAGGUUGGUUUCUAUCCUUAAAUUAUAAUAUAUUCCCUUAGUACGAAAGGAUUGGGGAGUAGAAGAAGCUUCAACUAAGUGAAUGCAAAUAAUAAGUGGAAAAUUUUAAUAAUUAGUUUCGUAUGAUUAGAACAUACUGAUACAAGAGUGUUUGUUAAUUGUAAGAUUUAAACUUACAUGA
rnacentral:rRNA from 1 species